rnacentral:lncRNA from 1 species
UUCAGUUUUCGAACUUUUUAGGUCGGUAAACAUUCUACAACCCUCCACCAAGUGUGGAAAAGCUCGAAACACAUCCAAGCACUCGAAUCUCGCAAUUUGCAAAGGUCCAGUGUGUUACAGCAUCGCCGCUCGUUUCUCCGGCAUCUCGCGUGAGCAGCAGCCUUCCCCCACCUACAGCACCCUCCUGCCACCGGCGCUCCCGCCGCCGAGUUGCCGCCGGCCGAAUCCAAGCCCCUUUGCUCCGGUAAGCUUAGAUAAGGGUUUUCUGGUUACUGUUCCGAUUUGUGUUUGCUUUCCCGGCGAUCAGAGGCUGUCUCGAUGCCUCUGGAGGCGAACACGAUGAUCGCUGGUCAGUGCUGAUCACAGUGCUCACCUUACUUUGGAUCAACGGAUGCCGUAUCGGCCUGUUCGACGGGAUUUUCCCUAACUGCGAGCUGUUCGCAGAAUUUUUGGGUCGCUCCCGUGCCUCCCACAGUGAGCCGUUGUUCUCCGGAUCAUGAGCACACCCUCUGGCGCAUCGAGACCUGUCAGUACGUGUCUCGGCGGACCUCGAAAGUCCUC